ACGCACGCUGGCGGCGUGCUUAACACAUGCCAGUCGAACGGGCCCGCUCUCUUUUUUGGGGGUGGGUUGAGUGGCGAACGGGUGAGUAUCACGUGAGUAACCUGCCCCCUGCUCCUGGAUAACUGCUUGAAAGGGCGGCUAAUACGGGGUGUGCCGGCUGGUCCGCAUGGGCCUGGUCGGGAUAGUUUCAUCUUCGGGUGUUUCGGUGGGGGAUGGGCUCGCGGCCUAUCAGCUUGUUGGUGGGGUGAUGGCCCACCAAGGCGGUGACGGGUAGCCGGCCUGAGAGGGUGGGCGGCCACACUGGGACUGAGACACGGCCCAGACUCCUGCGGGAGGCAGCAGUGGGGGGUAUUGCACAAUGGGCGGAAGCCUGAUGCAGCGACGUCGCGUGAGGGAUGGAGGCCUUCGGGUUGUGAACCUCUUUCUCCGGUGGUGAAGGCCCUGUCCGUUGCGGCGGGGUUGACGGUAGCCGGGUAUGAAGCGCCGGCUAACUACGUG
rnacentral:rRNA from 1 species